rnacentral:rRNA from 1 species
GGCGGCUAUAAUGCAGUCGAGCGGACAGAAGGGAGCUUGCUCCCGGAUGUUAGCGGCGGACGGGUGAGUAACACGUGGGUAACCUGCCUGUAAGACUGGGAUAACUCCGGGAAACCGGAGCUAAUACCGGAUAGUUCCUUGAACCGCAUGGUUCAAGGAUGAAAGACGGUUUCGGCUGUCACUUACAGAUGGACCCGCGGCGCAUUAGCUAGUUGGUGGGGUAAUGGCUCACCAAGGCGACGAUGCGUAGCCGACCUGAGAGGGUGAUCGGCCACACUGGGACUGAGACACGGCCCAGACUCCUACGGGAGGCAGCAGUAGGGAAUCUUCCGCAAUGGACGAAAGUCUGACGGAGCAACGCCGCGUGAGUGAUGAAGGUUUUCGGAUCGUAAAGCUCUGUUGUUAGGGAAGAACAAGUGCGAGAGUAACUGCUCGCACCUUGACGGUACCUAACCAGAAAGCCACGGCUAACUACGUGCCAGCAGCCGCGGUAAUACGUAGGUGGCAAGCGUUGUCCGGAAUUAUUGGGCGUAAAGGGCUCGCAGGCGGUUUCUUAAGUCUGAUGUGAAAGCCCCCGGCUCAACCGGGGAGGGUCAUUGGAAACUGGGAAACUUGAGUGCAGAAGAGGAGAGUGGAAUUCCACGUGUAGCGGUGAAAUGCGUAGAGAUGUGGAGGAACACCAGUGGCGAAGGCGACUCUCUGGUCUGUAACUGACGCUGAGGAGCGAAAGCGUGGGGAGCGAACAGGAUUAGAUACCCUGGUAGUCCACGCCGUAAACGAUGAGUGCUAAGUGUUAGGGGGUUUCCGCCCCUUAGUGCUGCAGCUAACGCAUUAAGCACUCCGCCUGGGGAGUACGGUCGCAAGACUGAAACUCAAAGGAAUUGACGGGGGCCCGCACAAGCGGUGGAGCAUGUGGUUUAAUUCGAAGCAACGCGAAGAACCUUACCAGGUCUUGACAUCCUCUGACAACCCUAGAGAUAGGGCUUUCCCUUCGGGGACAGAGUGACAGGUGGUGCAUGGUUGUCGUCAGCUCGUGUCGUGAGAUGUUGGGUUAAGUCCCGCAACGAGCGCAACCCUUGAUCUUAGUUGCCAGCAUUCAGUUGGGGCACUCUA